rnacentral:rRNA from 1 species
UACGUAGGGGGCGAGCGUUGUUCGGAUUUACUGGGCGUAAAGAGCGCGUAGGUGGUCCGAUAAGUCGGAGGUGAAAUCCCUCGGCUCAACCGAGGACCCGCGUCCGAUACUGUUGGACUUGAGUGCAGGAGAGGAGAGCGGAAUUCCCAGUGUAGCGGUGAAAUGCGUAGAUAUUGGGAGGAACACCGGUGGCGAAGGCGGCUCUCUGGACUGCUACUGACACUGAGGCGCGAAAGCUAGGGGAGCAAACGGGAUUAGAAACCCGUGUAGUCC